rnacentral:rRNA from 1 species
ACGCUCGACACCUACGGGAGGCAGCAGUUGGGAAUAUUGGACAAUGGAGGAAACUCUGAUCCAGUGACGCCGCGUGAAGGAAGAAGGUCUUCGGAUUGUAAACUUAUUUUGUCAAGGGAAGAAAAAUGACUGUACCUGAAGAAAAAGCACCGGCUAACUACGUGCCAACAGCCGCGGUAAUCUGAGCGGGCUGGCAAGGC